rnacentral:tRNA from 1 species
GGGCGCGUAGCUCAGUUGGUAGAGCAGCGGACUUUUAAUCCGCUGGCCGAAGGUUCGAGUCCUUCCGCGCUCA